UCAGGGUUUUCUCUGUUUUUGCUUCAUUUUGUUUUACCACAGACAGUUUUUAAUCUUUCCAGGAAAUGAAAUACUUUCAUUCACUAAUGUUUUCACAAUCUAUUGUCAAUUAUCUAUUAUCUAAACGCUCUCUUUUAAUUGUGAAGCAACAAUGGAUUGUCUCAUAGAAACGAGAUGAAAGCCUAGGCAUUAGCUGUGGUCAGAAUGAUGUUGCCCAUCCAGCAGUCUCUUCCCCCCCCCCCCCCCCCCCACC